rnacentral:rRNA from 1 species
GCAUAUCAAUAAGCGGAGGAAAAGAAACCAACAGGGAUUGCCUCAGUAACGGCGAGUGAAGCGGCAACAGCUCAAAUUUGAAAUCUGGCCCCCCGGCCCGAGUUGUAAUUUGCAGAGGAUGCUUUUGGCGAGGUGCCUUCCGAGUUCCCUGGAACGGGACGCCAUAGAGGGUGAGAGCCCCGUCUGGUCGGACACCGAGCCUCUGUAAAGCUCCUUCGACGAGUCGAGUAGUUUGGGAAUGCUGCUCAAAAUGGGAGGUAUAUGUCUUCUAAAGCUAAAUACCGGCCAGAGACCGAUAGCGCACAAGUAGAGUGAUCGAAAGAUGAAAAGCACUUUGAAAAGAGAGUUAAAUAGCACGUGAAAUUGUUGAAAGGGAAGCGUUUAUGACCAGACUUGGCCCGGUUGAUCAUCCAGCGUUCUCGCUGGUGCACUCUGCCGGUCCAGGCCAGCAUCAGUUCGCCGCGGGGGAAAAAGGCUUCGGGAAUGUGGCUCCCUCCGGGGAGUGUUAUAGCCCGUUGCGUAAUACCCUGCGGUGGACUGAGGUCCGCGCUCUGCAAGGAUGCUGGCGUAAUGGUCAUCAACGACCCGUCUUGAAACACGGACCAAGGAGUCGUCUUCGUAUGCGAGUGUUCGGGUGCAAAACCCCUACGCGUAAUGAAAGUGAACGCAGGUGAGAGCUUCGGCGCAUCAUCGACCGAUCCUGAUGUUCUCGGAUGGAUUUGAGUAAGAGCAUACGGGGCCGGACCCGAAAGAAGGUGAACUAUGCCUGUAUAGGGUGAAGCCAGAGGAAACUCUGGUGGAGGCUCGCAGCGGUUCUGACGUGCAAAUCGAUCGUCAAAUAUGGGCAUGGGGGGCGAAAGACUAAUCGAACCUUCUAGUAGCUGGUUUCCGCG